rnacentral:rRNA from 1 species
GACGUAGGGCGCGAGCGUUGUCCGGAUUUAUUGGGCGUAAAGAGCUCGUAGGCGGCUUGUCGCGUCGUGUGUGAAAUCUCAGGGCUCAACUCUGACAUUGCAUACGAUACGGGCAGGCUUGAGUUCGGUAGGGGAGACUGGAAUUCCUGGUGUAGCGGUGAAAUGCGCAGAUAUCAGGAGGAACACCGGUGGCGAAGGCGGGUCUCUGGGCCGAUACUGACGCUGAGACGCGAAAGCGUGGGGAGCGAACAGG